AUUGAACGCUGGCGGCAUGCUUUACACAUGCAAGUCGAACGGUAACAGGCCGCAAGGUGCUGACGAGUGGCGAACGGGUGAGUAAUGCAUCGGAACGUGCCCAGUCGUGGGGGAUAACGCAGCGAAAGCUGCGCUAAUACCGCAUACGAUCUGUGGAUGAAAGCGGGGGACCGUAAGGCCUCGCGCGAUUGGAGCGGCCGAUGGCAGAUUAGGUAGUUGGUGAAGGAAAGGCUCACCAAGCCGACGAUCUGUAGCUGGUCUGAGAGGACGACCAGCCACACUGGGACUGAGACACGGCCCAGACUCCUACGGGAGGCAGCAGUGGGGAAUUUUGGACAAUGGGGGCAACCCUGAUCCAGCAAUGCCGCGUGCAGGAAGAAGGCCUUCGGGUUGUAAACUGCUUUUGUACGGAACGAAACGGCUCUGGUUAAUACCCGGAGCUAAUGACGGUACCGUAAGAAUAAGCACCGGCUAACUUCGUGCCAGCAGCCGCCGUAACAC
rnacentral:rRNA from 1 species